rnacentral:rRNA from 1 species
UACGUAGGGUGCAAGCGUUAAUCGGAAUUACUGGGCGUAAAGCGUGCGCAGGCGGUUUUGUAAGUCUGUCGUGAAAUCCCCCGGGCUCAACCUGGGAAUGGCGAUGGAGACUGCAAGGCUAGAGUUUGGCAGAGGGGGGUAAGAAUUCCACGUGUAGCAGUGGAAAUGCGUAGAGAUGAUGGAGGAACACCGAUGGCGAAGGCAGCCCCCUGGGUCAAAACUGACGCUCAUGCACGAAAGCGUGGGGAGCAAACAGG